UUUAAGAUUAGGGUUUUUCCCCUACGUUCUCACCUAUAUGUAGUUAACAUCAUUUGGAAAAUCAUUUCACGGCCGCUCUUCCAUCAUCUGAGAUCUUACCGCUCCAAUUCAGUAUGCAGUUUUCUGACCUGAUCGGAGCUCCAAUAACUGACCAGAUCGAGUGUCCAUGUAUGGGAAUGGAUCAUAGCAUGUUGACAGUUCAUAGGAGCGCAUCUAUCUUUCUAUCAGCAACUCGAUAGAGGGCCGUCCUUCACAGUUGAAGUUGUGUUAUACCUGGUGGUGGUUCAGAACUCUUAAAUGAACGCAUAUGGAAUGCCUAUGCUAGACCGCAGGUAUAUGUUCCCCUUGAAGGCGAGAAUAGUGAAACACAUACAAAUAUAACUCUUUUGCCAGACAAUGAUGAAGAUCUUUCUCAGGCACAGUCGUCUGCGUCUAAUCACUCUUACACUCUCAUUGAAGAAGGAAAUGUGGAAGCAUGUUCACCAUCAAUGGGCCGUAUAGGGGGCAAUAUGGUAGUUAAUUCACCCUUGAACACAAGUUAAAAUACUCGCCCACAAGAGCAUGGUUCCAUCGAUGGUGUAGCUGAUGCUGAUGUUUCCGCUAUAAGAAAUGGAAUGAUUUCGCUGGAUAUUUCCAAUUUUCUAAAAUUAGAAAAUGAAAAUGUCCAUGUGGGCCCCCACCCUCAAACCGUACCACUGACACAACCUUACUUCGGCACAAAUCAAUUUCCUCAAAAUCCAACCCAUUUUUCACCUGAGGUACAACCGAUAUUCCAGCCACAUUAUGCAACUCAUCCAGGCUAUACGAGUUCUGAGACCCCACUUUACCCGAAUAUGUUGCCAACUGGAUAUUUCCAUCAACAGUACGCGAUAGGGGGAUAUGCUUUCAACCCGCCACCCGUUUCACCUUAUGCAACAGGAUAUCUUCCUAACAACCUGUUUCCGGCGCCUUUUGGCAUCAUGGUUCCAAGCUUUAGUGGUCAAAGUCAAAGUCAAACUUCAGGAGCCAAUGUGCAACAAGUUAACAACUUAUAUGGGCAUUUUGCGUUACCCUUAUUGUCGCAAGAUCAUAUAUUACAAUCUUUGGGGCUCGUGAGCCAUGUUAACUUGAGUUCAAGAAGUGUAGGUACCACAAAUCCUUAUUAUCUCCGGAAAACACGCUGUAUCAAAUAAUUGUCAAACAUACGACUUAGCACAAAUUUACACAUGACCGAGACUUGAUGCAGAUUGUUGAAGAAGGAACCUUUAUCAAAUGUCGGUUAGAGUAGUGAGGACAUUGCACAAGAUUCAACACAUAUAUGCGUACAUUGAGCAGGAAAUCUGAUACGAGAAGCGUUACGGAUUUGGUUUUGCUGUGAAGACUCAACUCAAUAUUUUGCGUACCUAUAUCAUCGGUUAAGGGGGUAUCUGUUUAAAGAUAAAAUCUUGAAGCAUGCAUCCAGAGUCUCUUUCUUCAACUGUGGCCUUAAAAAAAGGUUAACAAGCCCAGAAAGUCCGCUAGACCAUCAACAUCCAUUCCACCUAGCGGGCACAUUUUCGAACAUAUAGGAAAUGGCAACGAAGAUGUUGGUUCAGAUGUUCUAGAAUGUUCUAGAACAUUCGAACCCCAUCUUUCAUUCAAAGAAGUCAAAUCUUUUGAUGAUUUUCGUAUUCUGGUCAUUGAAGUCAGCAUUGAACUUGACUUCUCCCAUGAUGUCAGAAUGGGUUACUACAAACUAUGUUUAUACAAGAAACAAUUUCUUCAUCCGGAAGGUGUGUAUGACAGGUUAGCGGGGAAUAUGAUCGGUGAAACCGUAGAGAUUUGUAAUGAGAUUAUGAAGUGCAAGCUCACCACAUCUAUAAAGAGUUUGAAAAAUGGGAUUAGUACCUGAAAUCUUUCAAGUUUUUUGGCAUGAAUGUUGCGCUUUUACGCCAUAAGAUACACACACUUGCAAGACGUGUGUUUGAAUUAGAAUUUCGUUGCACAUAAACAGUAUACGGAGGCAGCAAACGAGCAUAAACACGUAAAUGAUGAGUCAAAGAAAUUAACACCCAUAUGUGAGGAGUUGAAGAGUACUAAAAAUGUGAGGAUAUUUUAGGCUCUUUCUGAAAGUUAUUAGCUUGUUUUCCUUUUAUGAUCAACUGUAAAACAUCUGAGUAAUGAACUACAUUUAGUGAAUCAGUAAUCCUUUUUUGGGUU